CUACGCCAUCCUACGGGAGGCAGCAGUGGGGAAUAUUGCACAAUGGGCGCAAGCCUGAUGCAGCCAUGCCGCGUGUAUGAAGAAGGCCUUCGGGUUGUAAAGUACUUUCAGCAGUGAGGAAGGUGGGUAUGUUAAUAGCAUAUUCAUUUGACGUUAGCUGCAGAAGAAGCACCGGCUAACUCCGUGCCAGCAGCCGCGGUAAUACGGAGGGUGCGAGCGUUAAUCGGAAUUACUGGGCGUAAAGCGCAUGCAGGUGGUUUGUUAAGUCAGAUGUGAAAGCCCGGGGCUCAACCUCGGAAUUGCAUUUGAAACUGGCAAACUAGAGUACUGUAGAGGGGGUAGAAUUUCAGGUGUAGCGGUGAAAAUGCGUAGAGAUCUGAAGGAAUACCGGUGGCGAAGGCGGCCCCCCUGGACAGAUACUGACACUCAGAUGCGAAAGCGUGGGGAGCAAACAGGAUUAGAUACCCUGGUAG
rnacentral:rRNA from 1 species